rnacentral:rRNA from 1 species
UUGAGUUGAUCCUGGCUCAGAUUGAACGCUGGCGGCAGGCCUAACACAUGCAAGUCGAGCGGUAACAUUUCUAGCUUGCUAGAAGAUGACGAGCGGCGGACGGGUGAGUAAUACUUGGGGAUCUGCCUGAUGGCGGGGGACAACCACUGGAAACGGUGGCUAAUACCGCAUAAUGCCUACGGGCCAAAGUGUGGGACCUUCGGGCCACAUGCCAUCAGAUGAACCCAAGCGAGAUUAGCUAGUUGGUGAGGUAACGGCUCACCAAGGCGACGAUCUCUAGCUGGUCUGAGAGGAUGAUCAGCCACACUGGGACUGAGACACGGCCCAGACUCCUACGGGAGGCAGCAGUGGGGAAUAUUGGACAAUGGGCGCAAGCCUGAUCCAGCCAUGCCGCGUGUGUGAAGAAGGCCUUCGGGUUGUAAAGCACUUUCAGUGGUGAGGAAGGCGUUGUCGUUAAUAGCGGCAACGAUUGACGUUAGCCACAGAAGAAGCACCGGCUAACUCCGUGCCAGCAGCCGC